GGGGAUGUAAAUAACGCGGAGGGAAGUAGUAUAAGGAAAUUUAUAAUUUUUGGAUAUUAAUGUGAAAUUGGUUUCAAACAGAGUUAAAUAGUGAAGUAAUCCAUAUGACUGACACCAACUAGUUUGUGAUUAAGACUACUUGUCAUAAAUACUUUAGAACAAGAAGUUAUAUAUUACUUAUUGAAUAUGAUUCAGAUUCUUUUUAUGCUCCAAUGUGUUGUAGCCUUGGAAUAAGUGUUAAGUUUAAGGAAGAAAGGUAAAGACAAAAUAGGAUUAAUUAGGUGCUAGUAUGAGGCCUCAUAUCAAGCACUUUGCUUUAGGUUGCUGAUUUUGGUGGGCAUAUUUUCCUAAUACUGAUCUGGUUAAAAUAUAAGGGUUCACUUACGUUUUGA
rnacentral:misc_RNA from 1 species